rnacentral:lncRNA from 1 species
GCUCUUCCAUUACAUGAAGAAUUGAAAAUGCUAAAUACUCAAAAAAUCGUAUUGUACAGCUGAUAAAGUUUAGGAUGAGCGUCAUUUUUCAAUCGAAUGCUCACUUCAUUAUAAUUUGAGGGAGGAAUUCUUUCGCCAUAUUUCUAGCACAUAUCAGAACUUUAAAACGUUAGACAAUUAUGAUUAAUUUCGAAGUGAACACAAGAAAACUUUACUAUUAUGGAG